AUCCAGCUGACGAGUCUUAAAUAGGACGAAACGCGCAUCCUGGAU
rfam:Schistosoma haematobium scaffold264_10, whole genome shotgun sequence.